AUGAGCUCCAGCUCUCCCUGGCCCUCAAGGUGGCCGACAAGGUGCUGGAGGGGGCGGCUUCUGGAGACCAUCAGUCAGCUCUACCUGUCUCUGGGCACUGAGCGGGCCUACAGAUCCACUCUGGACUACACCAAAGUAGUCUGGGGAUUUUCAUUCACCUCCAAAAGAAAGAGGAGACGCAUGCCUGGCUGCAAGCAGGGAAGAUCUACUACGUCCUGCGGCAGAGCGAGAUGGUGGACCUGUACAUCCAGGUGGCACAGAAUGUGGUCCUGUACACAGGCGACCCCAACCUGGGGCUGGAGCUGUUUGAGGCAGCUGGAGACAUCUUCUUCAAUGGGGCCUGGGAGCGGGAGAACGCCGUGUCCUUCUACCAGGUCUGGACAUGAGAGUGGCUCUAUCCUUGCACCUGAUGAUCUCAAACAACCAUGAGUGGAAAGUCCUGUCGUCAUCUGGAAGAUGAGGACACUGAGGCUCAGAGAGGCACAGGGACAUGUCAAAGGACACACAGCAUGUCAGUGGGAGGCCCAGGGCCAGGGCCCAGAUCUGCAUGCACCCCGAAACGGGGACGGCUUCUCCCUUCCUCUGAGCUCACGGUGUGGCUCAGCUCUGGGCACAGAUAAAUGUGGUGUUUUUAGAGCAGAGAGGAGUGCUGGCUCCC
rnacentral:lncRNA from 1 species